rnacentral:rRNA from 1 species
CGGGGAGCAGCAGGCGCGAAAACUCUGCAAUAAGCGAAAGCUUGACAGGGUUAUUCUGAGUGAUUUCCGCUAAGGAGAUCUUUUGGCACCUCUAAAAAUGGUGCAGAAUAAGGGGUGGGCAAGCCUGGUGUCAGCCGCCGCGGUAAUACCAGCACCCCGAGUGGUCGGGACGAUUAUUGGGCCUAAAGCAUCCGUAGCCGGUUCUACAAGUCUUCCGUUAAAUCCACCUGCUUAACAGUUGGGCUGCAGAGGAUACUAUAGAGCUAGGAGGCGGGAGAGGCAAGCGGUACUUAGUGGGUAGGGGUAAAAUCCGUUGAUCCACUGAAGACCACCAGUGGCGAAGGCGGCUUGCCAGAACGCGCUCGACGGUGAGGGAUGAAAGCUGGGGGAGCAAACCGGAUUAGAUACCCGGGUAGUCCCAGCUGUAAACGAUGCAGACUCGGUGAUGAAUAGGCUUCGUGCCUAUUCAGUGCCGCAGGGAAGCCGUUAAGUCUGCCGCCUGGGGAGUACGGUCGCAAGACUGAAACUUAAAGGAAUUGGCGGGGGAGCA